UACGAAGGGGGCUAGCGUUGCUCGGAAUCACUGGGCGUAAAGGGCGCGUAGGCGGUCAGCACAAGUCAGUUGUGAAAUCUCCGGGCUUAACUCGGAAAGGUCAACUGAUACUGUGCGACUAGAGUGCAGAAGGGGCAACUGGAAUUCUCGGUGUAGCGGUGAAAUGCGUAGAUAUCGUAAGGAAGACCAGUGGCGAAGGCGGGUCUCUGGACAGUUCCUGACGCUGAGGCACGAAGGCCAGGGGGAGCAAACGGG
rnacentral:rRNA from 1 species